GACGAACGCUGGCGGCGUGCUUAACACAUGCAAGUCGAACGGAGUGUCGAACGGUUGUGUAACACGUGGGUGAUCUGCCUUGCACUUCGGGCUAAGCUUGGGAAACUGGGUCUAAUACCGGAUAGUGCAAGAUGAGCUCGCGGCCUAUCAGCUUGUUGGUGGGGUAAUGGCCUACCAAGGCGUCGACGGGUAGCCGGCCUGAGAGGGUGUACGGCCACAUUGGGACUGAGAUACGGACCAGACUCCUACGGGAGGAAGGAGUGGGGAAUAUUGCACAAGGGGCGGAAGCGGGAUGCAGGGACGCCGCGUGGGGGAUGAAGGCCUUCGGGUUGUAAACUCCUUUCGACAGGGACGCGGGAACUGAAGAAGAAGCACCGGCUAACUACGUGCCAGCAGCCGCGGUAAGUG
rnacentral:rRNA from 1 species